AGCAGCCGCGGUAAUUCCAGCUCCAAUAGCGUAUAUUAAAGUUGUUGCAGUUAAAAAGCUCGUAGUUGAACUUCGGGGUUUACUCAUUGGUCAGGCUUAAUUGUCUGUACUGGUGAGAUGAAUCUCUACCUUCUGAGGAACUUUCAUGUCAUUUAUUUGGUGUGAUUGGAAAUCAGGACUGUUACUUUGAAAAAUUGAGUGCUUAAAGCAGGCUAACGUCUGAAUACAUUAGCAUGGAAUAAUGAAAUAGGACGGAUUGAUUCUAUUUCGUUGGUUUCUAGGGUCACCGUAAUGUAUUAA
rnacentral:rRNA from 1 species